GACGAACGCUGGCGGCGUGCUUAACACAUGCAAGUCGAACGGAAAGGCCCUGCUUUUGUGGGGUGCUCGAGUGGCGAACGGGUGAGUAACACGUGAGUAACCUGCCCUUGACUUUGGGAUAACUUCAGGAAACUGGGGCUAAUACCGGAUAGGAGCUCCUGCUGCAUGGUGGGGGUUGGAAAGUUUCGGCGGUUGGGGAUGGACUCGCGGCUUAUCAGCUUGUUGGUGGGGUAGUGGCUUACCAAGGCUUUGACGGGUAGCCGGCCUGAGAGGGUGACCGGCCACAUGGGGACUGAGAUACGGCCCAGACUCCUACGGGAGGCAGCAGUGGGGAAUAUUGCACAAUGGGCGGAAGCCUGAUGCAGCAACGCCGCGUGCGGGAUGACGGCCUUCUGGUUGUAAACCGCUUUCGCCUGUGACGAAGCGUGAGUGACGGUAAUGUGUAAAGAAGCACCGGCUAACUACGUG
rnacentral:rRNA from 1 species